AUGUUUAGGCUGUGUAACCGCUGCAAGAUCCUCACGCAAUUCGCAAAGCAUGUCCUCGCGGAGCAGACGGAAUUGACAGUCAAUGUGACUAGCAAGAGCAUCCGAUUCCUGAGCUCUGUCUUCGGCAUCGCAAGGCCUGGGCAAGUAUCUAGCCGUUGCUUUCAGCUCAUCCGGGGUCGGAUAGAUGGAGAUCCUGUGAAUCUCAGGAAAAUCAUUGUCAUGUCGUCCGCCAGGGUCACGUUGUGUAAUCUUCAGAACUGGCUCCUCCGAGCCCGAGCUUUCAGCUAUUUUAUCGGCGAUUUGCUUGAUGAGUUCUCCUUGGCUCUUGACAUCGUACGAGGAAGAUUCAAGGAGAGCUCUUUGAAUGGAAGGAUCUCGUGCUACAGACAAGUAAGUGACGGCUUCCUUGACGGGCAAAUAAAGCAGUUGUACAAGAAUCCAUGCAAAUACGCCAAGAGCACGUUCUUUCAAAGUCCGAUCGUGUGCCGCUUUGACGAGACUUUUCCACGUUAGAGGGGCUUCCAUCAGCUUUGCAAUGAUCUGCCGAACCGCCUCACCAUCCUGGAUUGUUUGUAGAUCCGGUGCUUUGAUGUACUCUAAAAACGAGGUCAGCGGUCCGUUGAGAAAAUCAAGGGAGGUGUCGCAGCUUAAAGCUGACAGUAAAGCCUCCAGACCAUGCGGCUAGACACUAAACACGAAAUGCUUGUUACUACCGGAGAUUGUUCACAAAUCGAUUCUAAAAACAGACUCGCAUUGAUUGAGGUUAUAGCCUUCUUUCCAUGGAGGACUGCGUCGAACAAAUUUUUCAAACGUUGGGCUCGUAUUUCAGCCAUGCUUCAAGAGUUAUCCAGUAACUACUAUCAAGGGGAGAUCAAAGAACAAACAGAGGAGUACGGUAAACACUGGGGACUUACUCGCAUUAAAUGAUAUUAUCAUCGAUCCAAUCAACUAUGUGCGCCGGAAGUUGGUUGUUUGAGUGCAGGAAUGACAUAUCCACUCAUCCAAGAGCUAAUCCAAGAGGCAAAGAAAACGUCAAAAUCUUCUCACAGCAAAGCAUAAUCUACAGACUAAGCCUGGAAAAAAAAAAGAAGAAUUGGAGCCAAGGAAUUCACACAAAAAGAUAACAUGCAGUCAAAAGUGAUAGGGUCAUCCAUAAAAUAACGUUAGGUACAAGCGGGAUCGUUAUUCCUGCGAAAAAUAGUUUUCCGUAACCCGCCAUACACUUUAGUGCACCGCUAUAGUGGCCACGAAAUGAUAACUCUCGCACCGACUCUACAUCCACGACUUAUCAGCGAUUGGGAAUCCCACGUUUAUUUUCUUGCUCUUUUCCUCUUCUCCUACUUUCAUCGUUGUCUCCACGAUCGGGCCAGUCGGUGAUAGCUGUUUGCCUUCGAGGCUUUCCUCAGGUUCCAUAUCUUUUUCCCAUUCUUCACCACACCGCAAUCGGUGGCGAGGCGUGAUUAAUCGAUUAUCGAUAUUUCUCCAUUUGAAGCCAUGGUAAAGAAUCGAAUAUCACGGUGUAAACACCCUGUCUAUCGAUCCUU
rnacentral:lncRNA from 1 species